CUGGGUAGAUGAGGGAAGAGCAGUAGAUGUUGUGUAUCUUGAUUUCAGCAAUGUGUUUGACACUGUCUGCCACAGCAUCCUUGUAGAGGCAAGCUCAAUGCCCAGUCCACUUUCCACAGAAGUCACUGAGAGUCUUGAAACUUAUUUCAAGAUGAAGAAGGUGCUAAAAUGCGGAUCUUGAAUAUGAAUCAAAACAGGAGUCUCCUACUUUAGACUGAUGCUGUACUUUGGAAGAUGAUGACAGAUAUGAAUGAGCUGGAGAAUGGAUCACAUCCUUCUCCAUUCAUUUUCAACACCAUUGUGUGAAUUACUCAUCCACAAAUAUUUUGCAAGGA